rnacentral:lncRNA from 1 species
CCCGAUGGAGAUUCAAACUCCGUCUCCAUAACUGGAAUAUGCUGUGAUUAUGUAAAAGGGCAAUCACGGCAGGAGGAUGUUGCUAGCCGGGGUGCUAGCCGGGGUUUGAGGCGGGUGCUUUCCUUUGUUGCAGGGGGGACCCUAUGGACCACUGUCAGGCUACCGCAGAUCGGUCGCCACCAUGAAGCCAGCUGCUGAUAACAUGUUGUCACUUGCUGUUGGGAUGACAGCACAGUGAUGGAGCUGAUCAUGAGCUUGUUGGAGCAAGGGAUAGAUAGCAACGGGUGACAGGGAACGGAAAUGUGGCGGGAAGGGGCUAACGGGCGUGAAUGGGGUGAACGGGAGGGAUAUAGGGUGGUAGGGAGCUGGGCGGUGCACGAUCUCGCUGCUCACAGCAGUGCUGGGUGACGAUGACGGUGCUGGUGACAGGGAGGGUGAGGGCGCCGCGCCCGUGAGCAUCCUUGCCAUUGUGUAGAUGGUUGACGAUGACCUCGAAAGAAGAAGCUACGGAUGCGUACAUGCAGGUCAAGAAAAAGAGGAGGUCAGGUGUGUAGGGGGGUCCGCAACGGCAGGAGUGGUGAUGUCGGGUACGUGCUCCAAAUGCUCAGCCCCAG